GUAAAUAGCUAUUAUUAGACUGUCCUCUCCCGCCUGCCCACGCACACACCUAACCCUUCAGGUCAGCACAAAACUACCCCCAGAUAACAACCUCCCAGGGCUUUACCCAGUCCUAAGCUUUGCUAUGUCCCCUGGGGAACUGCUCCCUGUCUCAACUGUGACAGCAGAGGAAGGGUCUCCUCACGAGGCAGCAGCGGGGAUCUAGAUCUUCCUACCUCAGCACCAAGUACAUUUCUGGGGGUGUUCUCCCAGUCUUCUCCAUCACCCCCUCUCACUGGAGUAGUGGCAAUGCAGAGGUUCCCUAUUUGCUCAGGGACAAACGCCUUCAGCUCACUGUGACAUCAGAGAGCAGUGAGUCCCACAGGGAGGCCGGAGGCAGCGAGGCGGUGCUGGGCAGGGGGAGGACACUGUGCUCCAAUACGGCAGGAGGCUGUGCUGGCAGCACCCAGCUGAGUGGGGAAAGGGACCCUCGGUGCUCUGCUUCACUGGAGGAUGAAGCUACCUGCUCGCCUGCCCUCUACUAAACUGUCAGAUUUCCAUGUCCUUCCAAAGACUUGCUGCAAUCCAGACAAGAUGACUGCAUUUCAAUGCUGACUGGAGCCUUUGCAAUGCAGCCUAUAAAACACUUUGGGAGCUUUCCAGAA